GCGCUAUUGGUGUAAUGGUAACAUCGAAGCUUCCCAUGCUUUGGCUCCGCGUUCGAUUCGCGGGUGGCGCA